GGUAAAUCUACAUUAGUUAGUGAGUUCCCACACUGCCUCCCUGGGAUUUUCUUUUUCAAUUGAAGUUCCCAUUGCAGUGGCAUAGCUGAUGGGUAGACGACCGAGGCGCGCCCGAGUCACAUACACUCAGCUACCGGUGACAGCAGCGCGUCUCAAGCCUCGCCCGGACACUAGAGAAUUCACCAAUCAGAACACAGGAUUCGCACCGAGGCUCAGAACGCAGCUGGCUACACAUGCGCAGUGAGAAAAUGUGUUGUUGUGAAGCGUCGCUCCUGCCUAAAAGGAACACUGUGCAUCAAGGAUUUCACGAUCUUGGACUGACAAUUUUGUAAGGCCUGCUUCCUGUAAAAACUUCAGACCAUCGUUUGGAUCAUCUGUCGGGGCUUCAUUAAGUCCUUUAAAGUGUUCCGUUAGUAUGUGCCUAAUUUGUUUGGGAUCUUGUGUCCAUCCGUCAACCGUUUUAAGUUUUUGUAUAUAUGUAGUGCGUGUUUGUUUCUUUGCUAUAUAUGCUAAUAAUUUCCCAGAUUUGUUGCCGUGUCUAUAAUACUGGUUUGCUGUUUGGCUUAGCGUAUUGUAAGCUUUUCCAGUUAAUAAAGUUUUUGUCUCUCUGUA